rnacentral:rRNA from 1 species
CAAGGUUUCCGUAGGUUAAGUUCAGCCUACUAAAGCAGCCUAGAAAAAUGCUAGUUGGCUUCGUGCCAGCGACACGCCCACUGUGCGGAAACGCCCUGAUUGCUUUCAGGGAGACCCGCAGCCCAUCGCCCCUACCCGGCGAUGGGUUCAGAGACUCAAUAGGCGUGGGUCUGGCCUCUGGCCAGGCUUGAGAUAGAGCCCGUCCCCGCUGGCCACAGCGGGGAGUCAACGGAACCUGCGGAAGGAUCAUU